rfam:Oryza brachyantha chromosome 7, whole genome shotgun sequence.
AAUAACCUUAGUUUUUGUUUUUUCACGUCCAACUUUUGACCAUUCGUCUUAUUUAAAAUUUUUUUGCGAUUAAUACUUUUAUUGUUACUAGAUGAUAAAAUAUAAAUAAUACUUUAUACGUGACUAAUUUUUUAAAAUAUUUGUACAAAUUUUUUAAAUAAGAUGAAUGGUCAAACGUUGGACACGGAAAAAC